rnacentral:rRNA from 1 species
GCCAACUAGCUAGCCCACCCCAUAAGAACAACAAUACCCUAUUUAUAAACCCAAAUAUACGACACCCCGUUUAACAAACCAUUUUUCCUCCCUAGUAUGGGCGACAGAAAAGGAACUACCGGAGCAAUAGAGAAAGUACCGCAAGGGAACGCUGAAAGAGAAAUGAAACAACUCAGUUAAGCCUAAAAAAGCAGAGACUACCCCU